UACGGGGGGGGCAAGCGUUGUUCGGAAUUACUGGGCGUAAAGGGCUCGUAGGCGGCCAACUAAGUCGGACGUGAAAUCCCCAGGCUCAACCUGGGAACUGCGUCUGAUACUGGAUGGCUUGAAUCCGGGAGAGGGAUGCAGAAUUCCAGGUGUAGCGGUGAAAUGCGUAGAUAUCUGGAGGAACACCGGUGGCGAAGGCGGGUCUCUGGGCCGAUACUGACGCUGAGGAGCGAAAGCGUGGGGAGCGAACAGG
rnacentral:rRNA from 1 species